rnacentral:rRNA from 1 species
AUAGGGGGUCGUACCUUCCCGGUGAGUUUAAACUUAAACGGAUGCGGUAAAGCGUGCUAAGGUAGCUAAGUUAUGGCCUAGUUAAUUGUAGGUCCUGUGAAUGGUUUGACGAGUUUUCUACUGUCUCUAAUUUAUUUAGAUGAACUUGAAUGGGGUGUGCAAAUGCUCCUAUAGAAAAGAAAGACGAGAAGACCCCGUGAAGUUAGAAAUUUAACUUCUAAGCUUUUAGCGUUAAGGUUUAGAAGCGUUAGUUUUGGCUGGGGCAGCAGGAGGGCAAAAUUAGACCCUCUUAUAAGAAAAGCUGGUGAGCUUAUGACCCAUAGGGUUAAGUGGUAUGAUUAGCAGAAAAAGUUACUCCGGGGAUAACAGCGUAAUCUGUCUUGAUAGUUCUUAUAGAUGGGCAGGUUUGCGACCUCGAUGUUGGCUCUGGAUGUCCUGAGGCUGUAGGCGGUCUCAAUGGUUGGUUCGUUUCGCCCAUAAAAAAUC